CGGUACCACUGCUUCAAGUAGUAUAGGAUGGGAUAUAUGGGGAUCUCCGGUCAGUUGUCACCCGGCCCGUGCAUGCACGAAGUGAGCGGAAGCCAUUUGGCUUUUGGGGAAAGCUACUCCUAGAUGUAUAAUUAAAACUAAGGAUUAACUGUCUGCGUGGUUCUAGGUCUAUACCAAGCUAAUAAUAUUACUUUUUCUUCUUCUUAAAACGCCCUUAUUUUCUGGGUGUAUCAAGCGUGUUCUUGUGUUGCCACAUGCGUAGCUCCGGCCAGGCCAAUCAUACUUGGUCGAUCCGGCUAACAGUCCUGAUAUUCUGUAUAGGAGUAGUUUAAAUGGCAUAAUUUAUUCCAAAUUCCCUCUCAUCCUCGUCAUCAUCAGGUCUAACCAUUCGGUGCUUUUGUUUCCUAAAAGUGUAGGCCAGCGACGUUUAACAGACGGAAGAUGCCAUUAUUUUAUUUUUCCUAUGAAGCUACAACACCUUAGCAAUGGGAUUCUCUAUGGAGGCUGUCUCUCUAUUCACGUACGAAUUUGUUUGUAAGCUCUUUUGUGCUGUGCUGUCUUCUGGUUUGGAUUUCUAAGAUUUUUUUUAGAUGAUGGUAGCUAGGUUUGUUCAGAGUUCAAACACGGUUUUGUCAAACCAUGAUCUCACUGGCAGACUAAUAGAUUUUUUUUUCUCCAGAAUACUACUUGUUGAAUAAAUAAAGUCAGAUCGUUGUUCUAAAUUUUUUAGAAAUUCUAACAAUUGUACCUACUAUUUCCUCCGUCUUAAGUGAUUUAAAUUUGCUCAAAUAUGGAUGUAUCUAUACCUAAAAAAUGUCU
rnacentral:lncRNA from 1 species